UGCGGCACUGAAUUAGCUCGUUGUCCAUCCAACACAUACUGCUUCAACACAGAUGGCUCUUAUGAAUGCAGAGGUUGUGAUCAGGCGUGUGUGGGCUGCAUGGGAAGCGGACCUGCUCGCUGUAAGAAAUGUGCUCGAGGUUUCAGACUCACUGGAGCAAAGUGUCUAGACAUCGAUGAGUGUUCGGAGAGAGCCAUCGCCUGUCCUGGACUCAAUGAAGCUUGUAUAAAUGAGGAGGGCUCGUUCCGCUGCGAGUGUGCGGAGGGAUUCAGUCGACGGGACAGCAUUUGUGUGGAGAAUCUGCCACCGAGUGAGUAAACACAUGCUCAAGCCCAACGCUUCCACACUAAGAGUAUGACAAAAUGAGCUGAAUAAAGCAUGAACUAGUUUGAUGA